UCGCCCGCGUUCAUUUUUUUCUCUUUUUCUAACUGGUGGGCCACUUUCCAGGCCAUGCAAUCGUCUCCCUCCUCCACCCGAAAUCAUCGCGCGUGACCGCCGCGAGCGCCAUCUCCGGCCGCACUUCAUUGCCGACAAUUCCCUUCCCCGUUUGACUCCGCUCCAUGUGUAUAUAAAGCUCCACUCCUUCCUCCCCCUUUCCCCUCUCCUUCCUCGCCCGAUAGUGCCCCAAGGCUGCUCAAUUUCGUCGCCGGAGUCGAGCUCGGCCGCCAUUGAAUCUUGUCGAUUCCCACGAGCACACAAGCGAAUCCACGUCAAGAUCAACAGCGAAGGUCACCGUCGCAAAGAACUUCUCCGGUUGUACCCCAUGACAGCUCCGUGAAACAAUUGAACUCUCCACCGUCGCCAUCCUCUUCGUUGAGACCUCCUGCGCGCUGUCGACCACUCCGCCAUCUCCGGGGACCCCUACAUCAUCGUCGCUGAAGACCAUGGGAGCGCUGCCAUCCUCGACGUCCUGCCACUGUUGUACAAUGAGGGAGAAACUCGAAGGGAAAGCAAGUUCGAAGAAAAGACAAGUUUGAAGGGAAGACAAAGAUGAUCAAGACUAUGAAGGAAGGAAUUCAAAAAAAAAAGAACAAGAUGACGAAGAGAUGAGCUACAUGCCUUAGAAAUUAUUCUAACUACUCAUCUCUCUAAAUUCUCAACUCAAGCCUAUGCGGCAACAUUUCUAAGACUUAGGAAUUUUCAAUAAACGACGAUGAGCUAUGCGCCCAAGUCAAGGAGAAGGACAAGUUAUUCCAGUGUCAAGAAGAGAUGAUCAACACCAAGAUGGUCGAAGAUGCACGACAAGAAAUCCGCGACAAUAAGUAUGAAGAGAAAGACAAGAAAUUGAAGAGAAGAGAGUUCAAGCGAAGAACAAGAAGAUGAGAAGUAAUCCUUGUGCCUUAGAAUUCUACCACUCAUACCUCUGAUGACCCACAAGUAUAGGGAUCGCAACAGUCUUCGAGGGAAGUAAAACCCAAUUUAUUGAUUCGACACAAGGGGAGCCAAAGAAUAUUUGUAAGCCUUAACAGCGGAGUUGUCAAUUCAGCUGCACCUGGAAACAGACUUG